UGAGCAAUCUGCCCUUCUCAUCGGAAUAAGCGUUGGAAACGACGUCUAAUGCCGAAUACGACCUCCUUUCGCAUGAUCGGAGGUGGAAAGCUCCGGCGGAGAAGGAUGAGCUCGCAGCCUAUCAGCUAGUUGGUGUGGGUAAUGGCCCACCAAGGCGACGACGGGUAGCCGGCCUGAGAGGGUGACCGGCCACACUGGGACUGAGACACGGCCCAGACUCCUAGGGAGG
rnacentral:rRNA from 1 species